GGAUUUCAUAGGGAGGCCCUCUGAUCAGCUUGAAUCCUAUUGGCCAAGGUGUGGCCAAUAGGAUGUCCGCAAUCAUGCAGCCAUGAUUGUCCGCAAUCAGCCACCAUGGUAGACCUCCAUUUUGUUCUUACGGUUUCCUCCUCUUACCAGUGUUCCUGCUACGUAAGAUGGGAACACUUGGGCUUCAAGUUCACUGAAGCAGGUGCACCUGCUUUUCCCUUCCUAAUCCAUGUAGUGGCUUCACUGGAAAUUAACGAAGAACUAAAUAUGAGCUGCAAAUAAAAGCGGAAAACUUCGGAAAGAGAGGCUUCCAUCUCUUCGGGAGGCAAGCCUCAUGCAAAAAGGCUGCGUUUUCUCUAGUGGAACAUCAGCAUCAUCAUUUUGUCACUUUUCUCAUCACCCUAUGGAGACAGCCACAGAAAUACAGAAAGCCACUGAAGAAUUUAAGCAGGAGGAGGACUUGAUGUAAUUUGAAUUCCAAAAAGCUCAUUCUGCCAUACAGCAAACGGAGAUCUCACAAUUUGCAUGGACAGCCUGUCACUGUGGGAUGAGCAGCUGUCUUCCAGCAAGCCCUUCCAGCAUGCCAUUUCUGCCUUGGAGCCAGUCAACUUUAAACUGAACCCACUGGAAACUGAAAUGAGGAACAUGGAAGAUAUUUUCUGCUGAAUCUGUGGGGCUACAACACACACUGCCAGCAGGGCCAUGUGAUCACGCUGGCACUAUGAUUCUGGUUGGUGUUCAAGGUUGUAUUAAUUCUUUGCCCAGGGCUUCCUUCUGCCGGAAAGAGGCCACCAGCUGCUGAAGAGCCAGAGAAGGAUAACGUAGUCUGUUCCUUGAUGCUUCAGAGCCAUUAAACAUUUACGACAGAACAUUGCCCUUUAAUUCAGCUCCAAGUCAUCUGCCUGCCUCAACUAAGUAGAGUGGGAAAUUAUGAAUGAUGGCCCUCUCCUUACCACCAGUGCCUCUCCACAGUCAGUACCCAUGAGGCCCACUCAACAAGGGCAUCAUCUUUCCAAGCUGACAGCGCUGGGACAAUGACACUUGUGGUAAAUUAAGCGGAAUGGUGAUGAAAAAUGGAGUGUGGUCACAAUCUAGCAGUACUAGCAGUUGGCGGAGUCUACUGUGGCCCUUGACAGAUGCAUUCUCUUUUAGAUCUCUCCGUGGUAUUUGAGUACUGGAUCAUCUAUUAUCCUGCAUGUUAUG